GCGGAUGUGGCGGAAUUGGUAGACGCGUCAGCUUGAGGGGCUGGUGAUUUAGGUCGUGGGGGUUCAAGUCCCCCCAUCCGCACCA
rnacentral:tRNA from 2 species